rnacentral:lncRNA from 1 species
AGUGCACAUGAAGGAUUGAGUAUUGCUCCAAAUAACCAGACCAACAAGUUGGAGUUUUGUGACAAGUUCUGACAAUGGCCUGAGUAAAAAUGAUAUCUGUACCUUCUGAGACAAAAUAUUUUGUGCUAAAGCAAAAUCCUCCAGAACUCCCUUCCUCUUCAGGGGCAACAGAUGCUCCCAGGUGAAUGCUGCUAUCAACCCCAUUUUACAACGUGGAAACUGAAGAAUUGAGAUAGUAACUGCACCAAGAUCUCACAACUGGGGUAAAAAUCCAUGCAGCAUGGCCCUAGAUGAACAUAAUCUGAAAGACUGGGCUCCACGCCUCAAGGUUGGGACAGAGAGCGAGUCUCCUUGCUCAGGUUUUAUCUCUUGUUAGUUAGAUGCCAAAUACA